UGCAUCCCUUUACCGGCCGAGUCUUCAUAUCUAUCUUCAGGGCGCAAGUGGCUGAUCGUAUUUUAACCCAACUUUAACCCUUUUCCAAGGUGAGCUUGCGCGUUUCUGUCAAUAAAAGAACAAGAUGCAAGGUCAAUCUUCUCCGAAGAAGGAGGUCAACGGGACGCGUCACUUGCGUAAUCCUGGCUCACGGCCAUCAUGUUGCGGAGGAUCCGCGCCAGGGUUCAAUGGGUCUCGCAGUCCUACUCCAGCAGUCUUUUGGAUGUCUAUCUAACAAUGAUCAGAUAUGCAUAUCUUGCACAUUUUCAAGUUAGCACAUUGAAUAGUUUAUUUAUAUUGGCAUUGUAAGAUCAGCAACACAUUUGGAUAACAAUACAGAAUGAUUAUAUAGUAUAAUCAAAGUGUUGCUAGAUAAAAAAAUGAGGAAGUUGCACGAUAAAAGCGAGAUUUCAAUGAAGUCUUCUGUACUGAUACAUAUCAAUACGUACAGUUCGUAAGAAGGCAUCACGAACCACGUGCCAACGUUAUCAGCUCGGGCUCGUUAGAGGUCGGACCCGGGCUCAGGGGCUCAAAUGUCGCGUAUUGGAUUAAGUGACAACCUUGAAAUAGACUGUCACACUUUA